CAGCCGCCGCGGUAAUACGGAGGGGGCUAGCGUUGUUCGGAAUUACUGGGCGUAAAGCGCACGUAGGCGGCUUGGUAAGUUAGAGGUGAAAGCCUGGAGCUCAACUCCAGAAUUGCCUUUAAGACUGCCGAGCUAGCAGGUGAGAGAGGUAAGUGGAAUUCCGAGUGUAGAGGUGAAAUUCGUAGAUAUUCGGAAGAACACCAGUGGCGAAGGCGGCUUACUGGCUCAUACUGGACGCUGAGGUGCGAAAGCGUGGGGAGCAAACAGGAUUAGAUACCCCCGUAGUCCCUGUCUCUUAUAA
rnacentral:rRNA from 1 species